CAAUAGCGUAUAUUAAAGUUGUUGCAGUUAAAAAGCUCGUAGUUGGAUUUCUGGUGGGAGCGAUCGGUAUGGCGCUUAGCGCGAGUACUUGCAUCGUCUCCGGCCAUCCUUGGGGAGAGUCUGUCUGGCAUUAAGUUGUCGGGCAGAGGAUCCUCAUCGUUUACUGUGAAAAAAUUAGAGUGUUCAAAGCAGGCUUAUGCCGUUGAAUAUAUUAGCAUGGAAUAAUAAGAUAGGACUUUGGUACUAUUUUGUUGGUUUGCGCACCAAAGUAAUGAUUAAUAGGGACAGUUGGGGGUAUUCGUAUUCCGUUGUCAGAGGUGAAAUUCUUGGAUUUACGGAAGACGAACUACUGCGAAAGCAUUUACCAAGGAUGUUUUCAUUAA
rnacentral:rRNA from 1 species